GACAGAGGGUGCAAACGUUGUUCGGAAUUACUGGGCGUAAAGCGCGUGUCGGCUGUUCUGCCAGUCGGGUGUGAAAGCCCCGGGCUCAACCUGGGAAGUGCACUCGAAACUGCAAGACUCGAGUCCUGGAGAGGAAGGCGGAAUUCUCGGUGUAGAGGUGAAAUUCGUAGAUAUCGAGAGGAACACCGGUGGCGAAGGCGGCCUUCUGGACAGUGACUGACGCUGAGACGCGAAAGCGUGGGGAGCAAACAGG
rnacentral:rRNA from 1 species